rnacentral:rRNA from 1 species
UACGUAGGGUGCGAGCGUUGUCCGGAAUUAUUGGGCGUAAAGAGCUCGUAGGCGGUUUGUCGCGUCGGCCGUGAAAACUUGGGGCUUAACUCCAAGCUUGCGGUCGAUACGGGCAGACUUGAGUUCGGCAGGGGAGACUGGAAUUCCUGGUGUAGCGGUGAAAUGCGCAGAUAUCAGGAGGAACACCGGUGGCGAAGGCGGGUCUCUGGGCAGUAACUGACGCUGAGGAGCGAAAGCGUGGGGAGCGAACAGG